AAGCUAUAACCUAUUUCCUAAAGUUGUGAUGACAUUCAAAGGUGAGAAAGUUUGUAGCUAUUGUUGUGAUUAUAGUUACUAUAAAUUCUUAGAAAACAUAGUGGGGUUUUCUAACACUAAUUUGUGGGGCACUCAUUAAUGUUAUAUAUUUAGUAAUUUAUUGUUCAGUGUUCAUACUUUAAAAUUUCCUAAUUUUUCCUC
ensembl:misc_RNA